rnacentral:rRNA from 1 species
UACGAAGGGGGCUAGCGUUGCUCGGAAUCACUGGGCGUAAAGCGCACGUAGGCGGCUUCUUAAGUCAGGCGUGAAAUCCUGGAGCUCAACUCCAGAACUGCCUUUGAUACUGAGGAGCUUGAGUCCGGGAGAGGUGAGUGGAACUGCGAGUGUAGAGGUGAAAUUCGUAGAUAUUCGCAAGAACACCAGUGGCGAAGGCGGCUCACUGGCCCGGUACUGACGCUGAGGUGCGAAAGCGUGGGGAGCAAACAGG